rnacentral:rRNA from 1 species
GACGAACGCUGGCGGCGUGCUUAACACAUGCAAGUCGAACGAAGUGGCGAACGGGUGAGUAACGCGUAAUCAACCUGCCAUUCAGGGGGGUAAAACAGUUGGAAACGACUGCUAAUACCGCCUACUGAAGGACGGGCGUGCGUGGGAUAAGCUAGUUGGAGGGGUAACGGCCCACCAAGGCGAUGAUCAGUAGCCGGGCUGGGAGGAGCGACGGCCACAUUGGGGCUGGGACACGGCCCCGACUCCCUCGGGAGGCAGCAGUGGGGAAUCUUCCGCAAUGGACGAAAGUCUGACGGAGCAACGCCGCGUGAUUGAUGACGGCCUUCGGGUUGGAAAGCUCUGUUAAUCGGGACGCGGUACCGGAAUAGAAAGCAACGGCUAACUACGUGCCAGCAGCCGCGGUAAUUC